GAGAGAUGACGUGUACAAAGUUUGUGUCAGACAGACAGACAGACAGUCUGUCUGACACAAACUUUGUUCACGUUAUCUCUCAU
rnacentral:pre_miRNA from 1 species